AGAGAAUGAAUAUUGGAACAAAUGUCAAAAAUCAAUUGGCAACAGUGUUGUAGAAUGCCAAAUACAUGAAAAUUAAACUUACAACCCAACAAGUCACGACUACCGAACUACAAUACAUUAAAAGAAUUUGCGUGAACCCUUAAUGCUUUGCGUAAGAAAGGGAUGAAUGAUCACAGCUAUAUAAGAGAUUCGGUUAGAUUUAUCAGUUUGGCCUUAACAAACUGAAAAAAAAUGUCUGGCCUGCUCAUAAAGUGUACUAUACAUUCAACUUCAGUAAUUAUUUACCAAAGUUAUUAUUAUACUAUAUUGUAUACGUUAAUCGAAUAUUUAUA